rnacentral:rRNA from 1 species
GACGAACGCUGGCGGCGCGCCUAACACAUGCAAGUCGAGCGAUGAAAUUUUAACCGAUCUCUUCGGAGAGAAGAUAAAAUGGAUUAGCGGCGGACGGGUGAGUAACACGUGAGAAACCUGCCUUUCACAAGGGGAUAGCCUCGGGAAGCCGGGAUUAAUACCCUAUGACACAUUUCCUUCGCAUGGAAGAAAUGUUAAAACUCCGGUGGUGAAAGAUGGUCUCGCGCCUGAUUAGCUAGUUGGUGGGGUAACGGCCCACCAAGGCCAUGAUCAGUAACCGGCGUGAGAGGGUGAACGGUCACAUUGGAACUGAGACACGGUCCAAACUCCUACGGGAGGCAGCAGUGGGGAAUAUUGCACAAUGGAGGAAACUCUGAUGCAGCGACGCCGCGUGAGCGAUGAAGGCUUUCGAGUCGUAAAGCUCUGUCCUAUGGGAAGAUAAUGACGGUACCAUAGGAGGAAGCCCCGGCUAACUACGUG